AAUAGAGUCUUGUGAUGUCUUGCUUAAGGGCCAUCCAACCUAGAGUCUACAAC
ensembl:miRNA MIR924 microRNA 924